rnacentral:rRNA from 1 species
ACGCUCGACACCUACGGAGCAGCAGUGGGGAAUAUUGCACAAUGGGGGAAACCCUGAUGCAGCGACGCCGCGUGAGCGAAGAAGUAUUUCGGUAUGUAAAGCUCUAUCAGCAGGGAAGAAACUGACGGUACCUGACUAAGAAGCACCGGCUAAAUACGUGCCAACAGCCGCGGUAAUCUGAGCGGGCUGGCAAGGC